rnacentral:rRNA from 1 species
UUUAUAAAGAGUUUGAUCCUGGCUCAGGACGAACGCUGGCGGCGCGCCUAACACAUGCAAGUCGAACGAGAGAGAGGGAGCUUGCUUCCUCAAUCGAGUGGCGAACGG